rnacentral:rRNA from 1 species
AAAUUGAAGAGUUUGAUCAUGGCUCAGAUUGAACGCUGGCGGCAGGCCUAACACAUGCAAGUCGAGCGGUAACACAGAGAGCUUGCUCUCGGGUGACGAGCGGCGGACGGGUGAGUAAUGUCUGGGAAACUGCCUGAUGGAGGGGGAUAACUACUGGAAACGGUAGCUAAUACCGCAUA